UGCUGAGAUUUUGAUAGUUUUCAGGUUUUGAAGGGAGUUUUCACUGGAUUUACUAGAAAUGUGAAAUUGACCUGGCAAGCCUGUCUCUGCCUGAGCAUGAUCACAACAAAAGUAGCUGUGCAGCACGUUUUUUAAGGAAGAGGAGGAUGGUUGCAGACGUUCGCAUUCAUGCAAGAAGGAGAGAUGUCAGCGAUUCGGGCCAAUGACCAAGGGAAAGCUGGGACAAAAGAGGGGUUCACACGGAGAGAUGUCAGCGAUUCGGGCCAAACAACCAAUAACCAAGGGAAGACUGGGACAAAAGAGAGGCUCACACGGUGACAAAGGAACAAAAAGGUAUUGGUCGACAAUAGAGGUGGAUGCAGUUGAAGAUUCCUUGAUGAACUUUAUCCGAAUGGGGAAAAAUGCCUGGAAAACAAGACUGUGAGAAAUGCAUUGCUGCUUCUCCCCAAGCGCUUUUAAACAGGGACUGGAGAGCAGUACAGUUCUAUAGACACAACAGAAUAGUUGCAGAUCAGAGAAAA